rnacentral:antisense_RNA from 1 species
AAAGUACCUGGACUUCUAUGCCCAUGCUUCUAGCAGCCAGCCUCCUAAAAUACCUCUAGUUGAAGCCAAAGUUAGAAUCCUUCUAUGAAACUACAGGAUUAAAAUGGGAUGGUUACAUGACCCAGGCUUGACCAAUCAGAUCAUCCAAACCCUUUGCCACAGUGAUUGGUCCAGGGAUACAUGCAUGAGCCAGCUCAGGCCUAAACCACACUCAUCUUGUGGAUGACACUGGAGCUGUGACAGUCUGUUCUGUCCAGGCUGGGUGUCUUUUAUUUUUACUGGAAAUAAGAUUAUCACAGAAUUGCUGGCUCUUGAUACUCUUUCCCAUCAACUCCCCCAAUGGAAAUGCUUUCAACCAGUGCAGAAGUAAAAAAUUACCCAAAGGCUGUAUGAUGCAAACUCUUUCUUUGGCUUUAUCUUACUGAUAAG